rnacentral:lncRNA from 1 species
AGAUCAAGAGUCUAGGUUGGGGAUAUUAUUGUUUGCUUAAAAAAACAACCUAUAUUGAUCUGGUUAGAAAAUUUUACCAAAAUUUUUUUUACACUGAUGGAAGAGCUAGAUCUAUUUUUAAGGGUGUGGAAAUUCUAUUGGAUGCCUAUCAUCUUGGCCACGUUAUUUAUCUAUCCUAUGAGAAUAGUAGUUUAGAUGAAUUGAACAGUAAAGAAACUAGUUUUAAGUCCAUUUUGGGAGGAGAAGUUGUAAGAGGAAUUGAUAAAAUUGAAGCUAAGGAUUUAAAUGUUGAGAUGAGUCUCCUCCACCAUAUUGUGAUGAAGAUUUUCUUCCCUAGAGGGGGAAGAUAUGAUUUUCUUUUUGGGAGGGAUAUUUGUAUA